rnacentral:misc_RNA from 1 species
AACGCAAGUGGCGCUCUGCGACGAGCGGAGCAUGCUUGGCUGAGGGUUGUUUUGAUUGGUGGCGGUAUUCGGUUGGAUUCCGCCGAAGGUGGUGCGGGGACGGAGCAGAACAGGGUAGAUUCGUUUGCCCUUGUUUGGAAGAUGCUCCAUUGAGUGCAACCUCAGAUCAAGCAGGAGUACCCGCCGAACUUAA